GGCUGAGCAUGCAUUGGAUUUGGUGGUCAUUCUGGCAUUACAGCAGCCUUUCUUCAGAUCUGGCACAAUCAUUAUUUGGAGAUUUCCAAAGUAAACAAGAUUUACGCACCCAUUUUCCCAUGCUUGGAUAGUCAUGUUCUGGAUCAAAAAGAUGCUGGUGAAGUUGGUAUUCUUUGCUGAACUGAGCUGUAUCUGGUGUGUUUUCGAGGCAUCCAUCAUCAACUGAAGAAAAAAAAAAUGGGGGGGGGGGGAGACCUGAGCUGCUUGACAUCUUGUAAAAUAUAUCAGCAAAACCACAUCAUGAACAUAUGCAAUGAAUUUUAUAAUAAAAGGAUAGGGGAUUAGGAUACAGUACUUUUCCUCUUUGGAGGCAACACUCAUUUCCACCAUUCCUUGGAAGAGACACAAAGUAAAAUUCAUUUCUUUA